rnacentral:rRNA from 1 species
GUGGGGAAUAUUGGACAAUGGGGGGAACCCUGAUCCAGCCAUGCCGCGUGUGUGAAGAAGGCCUUUUGGUUGUAAAGCACUUUAAGCGAGGAGGAGGCUACCGAGAUUAAUACUCUUGGAUAGUGGACGUUACUCGCAGAAUAAGCACCGGCUAACUCUGUGCCAGCAGCCGCGGUAAUACAGAGGGUGCAAGCGUUAAUCGGAUUUACUGGGCGUAAAGGGCGCGAAGGUGGCCAAUUAAGUCAAAUGUGAAAUCCCCGGGCUUAACUUGGGAAUUGCAUUCGAUACUGGUGGGCUAGAGUAUGGGAGAGGAUGGUAGAAUUCCAGGUGUAGCGGUGAAAUGCCUAGAGAUCUGGAGGAAUACCGAUGGCGAAGGCAGCCAUCUGGCCUAAUACUGACACUGGUGUGCGAAAGCAUGGGGAGCAAACAGGAUUAGAAACCCGGGUAGUCC